GGAAGAAAACCCCUUUUUAAGCCUGUUUGGCUGGGAAUUCAAAGGUUUAAGGACCAAAACUGGUAUGAUUGCAAGGUUCGAAACUUAUUAAAUUACCCUAGCGCUUAAAGACACUCACCUCCCGCAUAAAUACACCCCGGGUUGGUCUUUUUGGGGGUUUUGAGCGUCGGAUGGAGCAGGGACUGGAGAUGGUUUGUCACCC
ncrna:Polynucleobacter sp. QLW-P1DATA-2 2596588481, whole genome shotgun sequence